UCUCCUGUAGCUCAGUGGUAAAGCAUCCAACCGGCGUGCGGAAGGGCAUAGGUUCGACUCCUGUUGGGGGAA